AUUGAACGCUGGCGGCAUGCUUUACACAUGCAAGUCGAACGGUAACAGGCCGCAAGGUGCUGACGAGUGGCGAACGGGUGAGUAAUGCAUCGGAACGUGCCCGGUCGUGGGGGAUAACUACUCGAAAGAGUAGCUAAUACCGCAUACGAUCUAUGGAUGAAAGCGGGGGACCGUAAGGCCUCGCGCGAUUGGAGCGGCCGAUGUCAGAUUAGGUAGUUGGUGGGGUAAAGGCUCACCAAGCCAACGAUCUGUAGUUGGUCUGAGAGGACGACCAGCCACACUGGGACUGAGACACGGCCCAGACUCCUACGGGAGGCAGCAGUGGGGAAUUUUGGACAAUGGGCGCAAGCCUGAUCCAGCAAUGCCGCGUGCAGGAAGAAGGCCUUCGGGUUGUAAACUGCUUUUGUACGGAACGAAACGGCUCUGGUUAAUACCCGGGGCUAAUGACGGUACCGUAAGAAUAAGCACCGGCUAACUACGUG
rnacentral:rRNA from 1 species